rnacentral:rRNA from 1 species
CCUACGGGAGGCAGCAGUAGGGAAUCUUUCACAAUGGGCGAAAGCCUGAUGGAGCAACGCCGCGUGCAGGAUGAAGGCCUUCGGGUUGUAAACUGCUUUUAUAAGCGAGCAAUAUGAUGGUAACUUAUGAAUAAGGAUCGGCUAACUACGUGCCAGCAGCCGCGGUCAUACGUAGGAUCCGAGCAUUAUCCGGAGUGACUGGGUGUAAAGAGUUGCGUAGGUGGCAUAAUAAGUAGCUAGGGAAAUCUGGUGGCUCAACCAUUCAGACUAUUAGCUAAACUGUUAAGCUCGAGACCGUUAGGGGUAACUGGAAUUUCUAGUGUAGGAGUGAAAUCCGUAGAUAUUAGAAGGAACACCAAUAGCGUAGGCAGGUUGCUGGGACGGUUCUGACACUAAGGCACGAAAGCGUAGGGAGCAAACGGGAUUAGAUACCCUUGUAGUC